AACGAACGCUGGCGGCAUGCCUAACACAUGCAAGUCGAACGCGACCUUCGGGUCUAGUGGCGCACGGGUGCGUACCGCGUGGGAACCUGCCCUUAGGUUCGGAAUAACUCCCCGAAAGGGGUGCUAAUACCGGAUAAUGUCUUCGGACCAAAGAUUUAUCGCCUUUGGAUGGGCCCGCGUUGGAUUAGCUAGUUGGUAGGGUAAAAGCCUACCAAGGCGACGAUCCAUAGCUGGUCUGAGAGGAUGAUCAGCCACACUGGGACUGAGACACGGCCCAGACUCCUACGGGAAGCAGCAGUGGGGAAUAUUGGACAAUGGGCGAAAGCCUGAUCCAGCAAUGCCGCGUGAGUGAUGAAGGCCUUAGGGUUGUAAAGCUCUUUUACCCGGGAUGAUAAUGACAGUACCGGGAGAAUAAGCUCCGGCUAACUCCGUG
rnacentral:rRNA from 1 species